rnacentral:rRNA from 1 species
UACGGAGGGUGCGAGCGUUGUCCGGAAUCAUUGGGCGUAAAGGGCGCGUAGGUGGCCCGGUCAGUUCGUGGUGAAAGCGCGGGGCUCAACCCUGCGUCGGCCAUGAAUACUGCCGCGGCUGGAGCACUGUAGAGGCAGGCGGAAUUCCGGGUGUAGCGGUGGAAUGCGUAGAGAUCCGGAAGAACACCGGAGGCGAAGGCGGCUUGCUGGGCGUGAUCUGACGCUGAGGCGCGAAAGCGUGGGGAGCGAACAGG